rnacentral:rRNA from 1 species
AUUGAACGCUGGCGGCAGGCCUAACACAUGCAAGUCGAACGAGCGGCGGACGGGUGAGUAAUGUCUGGGAAACUGCCUGCUGGAGGGGGAUAACUACUGGAAACGGUAGCUAAUACCGCAUACUAUCGGAUGUGCCCAGAUGGGAUUAGCUAGUAGGUGGGGUAAAGGCUAACCUAGGCGACGAUCCCUAGCUGGUCUGAGAGGAUGACCAGCCACACUGGAACUUAGACAGCGUCCAGACGCCUACGGGAGGCAGCAGUGGGGCAUAUUGCACAAUGGGCGCAAGCCUGAUGCCGCCAUGCCGCUUGUAUGAAGAAGGCCUUCGGGUUGUAAAGUACUUUCAGCGGGGAGGCGUUACCCGCAGAAGAAGCACCGGCUAACUCCGUGCCAGCAGCCGCGGUAAUUC